GUCCUAAUAGCUUAAUAUCAAUAAAGCAUUGAUCUUGUAAAUCAAAGAGUGGAUUUAUACAUCCUUAGGACA
rnacentral:tRNA from 1 species